AAGGAUCAUUACAGAGAACAUGCCCAUCAGGGUAGAUCUCCCACCCUUUGUUUACAUUACCUUUGUUGCUUUGGCAGGCCCGUCUCACGACCGCCGGCGUUAGCUGGCCAGCGCCUGCCAGAGAAUCUAAAACUCAAAAUAUAUGUCGUCUGAGUAAAUAAAUAAUAGUUAAAACUUUCAACAACGGAUCUCUUGGUUCUG
rnacentral:misc_RNA from 1 species